rnacentral:rRNA from 1 species
GGACGAACGCUGGCGGCGCGCCUAACACAUGCAAGUCGAACGAGCGAGAGAGAGCUUGCUUUCUCGAGCGAGUGGCGAACGGGUGAGUAACGCGUGAGGAACCUGCCUCAAAGAGGGGGACAACAGUUGGAAACGACUGCUAAUACCGCAUAAGCCCACGGCUCGGCAUCGAGCAGAGGGAAAAGGAGCGAUCCGCUUUGAGAUGGCCUCGCGUCCGAUUAGCUAGUUGGUGAGGUAACGGCCCACCAAGGCGACGAUCGGUAGCCGGACUGAGAGGUUGAACGGCCACAUUGGGACUGAGACACGGCCCAGACUCCUACGGGAGGCAGCAGUGGGGAAUAUUGCACAAUGGGGGAAACCCUGAUGCAGCGACGCCGCGUGGAGGAAGAAGGUCUUCGGAUUGUAAACUCCUGUUGUUGAGGAAGAUAAUGACGGUACUCAACAAGGAAGUGACGGCUAACUACGUG